AUUUACGAAAUGGGUUGAUUCACUGACUCUGAAGUGUGUUUUUGGACAAAGUGGCCCAGUAAAAUCAGAAUAAACAAUUACAACGAAAGCCACUUCUCUUCGUAGUCUUCCUCUUCGAUGUAGAUUAGGGUUUCAAUCUGUUCAGUCUCCUGUGAGAAAUCGAAAGCCGCUUCCGAGAUUAACUUAACAUCAAGAAUAACGACGAUCUCAUGAGCAUUAUCCUCCACCUACGAUACAAGAUGAGAGAAGAGCUUUUGACUGGAAACCAGAGAAACAAGAGCUUCCAAUUGCUCAGACUGUUUUUUAUGUGAUUUAUGGAAAACUUACGUAUUCAGAUGCUAGAACAAACUAUUCCCUUAAUGCUAUUAAAUUCUUAAAAAACACUUACUCUUUCGCUCAUUCAAAGAUUUCUAUUACAAACUUUUAUAGCAGGCAGCACCAUGAGAAACUGUUCUUUGAUAUGGAUCCAAACGUGAUCGGUUCAACGAGCUUAAAUCCAAAAAUAGUGGGAGGUAGGCAUGUUGACUCCCUGUUGUAUGAUAUUUCAUCUUCGGAGAACCCAACCUCAAGGACCCAUUUCUAUUUUGAUAGCGAGAGUAACAUAGGUUUCCAGGGGAGUGAAGAUGGGUCCGCCUCAACUGCUACAAAAUAUGGAGGGGUGAAGAAGAUUGUAUCAUUAACACUGUGAGAGCUGAAUUCUUAUGUAAUCAUUUCACCACCACAAGCUGCAGAGUUCUUGUGCACUGCGAAAGUUGACAGCAUUGAAAAAGCAAAUGGGUGGUGCUACUUCUCAUAAUCUAAAUGCUCCCGGAAACUUUAGCGUAGUUUCUCAUCGCUUACAUGCACAGCCUGUCAUGAUGCAAACAUUGUAGUUAUUGUUAGGUGCCAGGUUGAGAUGGUAACAGAUCACUCGAACUCUGUUCUGUUUGUGGUUUGGACGCUGAGAUGAACAAGCUUACCGAAGUCCCUGCCUCAUCACUGUCUCAGGACAUGGGCGCCGGAGUGGAAGACCCAGAGAGCAUAGCCUACCACAAUGCGUUGAAGAUAUCGUAGUGAGGAACUUAACAUUCCAGCUGAAGCUUUCGGAGUUUAAUUUCUCAGGAAAGCAGUUAUUCACCAAGUAGUCAUUCACCGUAUCCCGCAUUUUUUGUCGCAACCAACGUCCACCCCUCCCGCAGCACAAUGAGGUUAUGAUAACCCUGACGAUGAGAUGCCAUGAGCUGGAGCUGUGAAAAAAAAAGAUUCAUCCCAACGUUGAAAGCAGUUUAGCUGUCAACAGCAGUGACCCCAGUAAUUGUCAUGGUGGAAGGCCACCCAGGAGGAAAUACUGAACUAAACGAUAUCCAUGCUUUAUCUGACAUGUCUCCCGAAGAGUUUCAAGAGGCAGAUGGUGUGGAGUGUGCGCACUUCGAAGAAACCUCGCAAUGGGUUUGCUUCCCAUCCAAGGAAUGAAGUGUCCUCCACUGUUAAAUAGGGUUACAGCAGGUGAGGUUAGACAGAUGAAUAUAUUGAAACAACUUAUCUCAUAUUAUUUUUUGCUUUUUGCUUUUCAACACAAUUGUAAUUUGUAUUAACUAAUCAAGCCAUGGAUGUAUUUGACAUGUAAUGAGUUUAACCAUGUAGCUGAAUCGAUGAUUUCUAACCAUAAAGUUUUUGAGGGUCCAA